AUUCAAAGUGACAGACAUCUCUUUGCCAGUAUGUGAGCCAAUCUGCCAGUGAGAACAAGGCUAAAGAUAAACAGAUGGAUCUUACUCCCUGCCUGAGGGAACACAAAGUGGGCUCAGAGGGGAUGGAGUAAAUUCUAAGCCCCUGAAGCCAUGACAUGCUACCAGCAGUGCUGUCCUCCAGCUGGCAUUCUCACCACUGUUGGCCAAUCUUCUCAGGCUGCAUUAUGAGGACGAACUUUAUAAGGUCAAAGGACUGCCCUCAAACACUGCCGAGCCCAAGUCCCUGUGUCCAUGACCAUCUCCUUGAAGGAAGGUUCCUGGUGACCACAUCCUGCUGUUUGAUCACUGCAUUUCAGCAAGAAUCCAGGGAACCCCAGAUGCCUUAGGAAGGAGUUCCUGUGUUAUGAAAUUUUUGCAGCCAUGAAAAUUUAUAUAUAUUUUUAAAGAUUUUAUUUAUUUAUUUGACAGAGAGAGACACAGCGAGAGAAGGAACACAAGCAGGGGGAGUAGAAGAGGGAGAAGCAGGCUUCCUGCAGAGCAGGGAGCCGGAUGCGGGGGCUCCAUCCCAGGACCCUGGGAUCAUGACCUGAGCUGAAGGCAGGUGCUCAAUGACUGAGCCACCCAGGUGCCCUGAAAAUUUAUAUUUUUGACACACAUUUAAUGACAGGGAAAAAUGCUCAUGAUAAGUGGAAAAAAAUUAAAAACUGUUUAUAGCACAAAACUUAGUUUUUUGUGAACUAUAUUUAUAUAAUUGUAUAAAAAAUAGACUGGAAAGAAAUAUACUGGAAUUUUAGAAGUUGUUAUCUCUGUAGAUAGGAUUAAAAUAAUUUUAAUUUUCUUCUUUAUACAUUUCUUUGUUUCCCAGAUUUUCUACAAUACCUAAAAACUGCUCCUAUAAUCUAUAAUAAAAAGCAUAUUAAUAGAAGUUAGAAAACUCAUACUUUUGGGUUAAUUCAAGAUGGCUUUCACUUAGCCCACAAAGCUUCCCCAAAUGUAUCAAAGGUUAUGUUUCAAAACACCUGAAAAAUUUGGUACUUGACUUCCAAAUGGAAUCCUUUGGGUGCUUGUGUAUUUUACUGUAAUGGCCCCUGACUGUGUUUCUGGCCUUGUUUCACUUUUAGUUCAAAGUAGGAAUGAAAAAUGUACCUUCCACAUGGAGCUAAGGGUCCAGUUAUUACUACAGAUGUUAAGAUAAGGGACAAGUUCUAAACUCUUUAUCAACAGGGCAGUUGUGUCAUCUGGACAACACUUCUCAAUUUCAUCUGACAAAAAUGCGGGAUGUCAAAUUCUUAAAUAAACAAUACCAAGUUCCUGUGGGGGUAAAAGCAAGUCAAAUAGGAGAUACUUGCUCUUGGCAUAAAAGUAUAUAUUUAAGAAUAAACUGAACACAUUUCACAACUCGCUGUGGACUAAGAGGGGUAGAGAAGAAAGGGUCAAAGGCUGCUCUAAUUACUCUCAUUUUAGCAAGCAGAAUGAAAUGAAGUUUCCUGGGGGUAAUUAAUCACAGCGUGAUGAAAAGCAAACACACACUGGACACUUCUUUUGGUCAGAGAUUUGGUGGAAAUUGCCACUGCUUCGUGGAAGACACUGUUGUCCGUCUGGCAGAAGGUUCUCACUUAGGAAAGAAUGUAUAGUAACACAAGGUCCAGCGUUCAAAAUAAAGGCGUAAGGAAAACAGCAGCAAUCAUCUGGCAUUGCUCUCACUGAGUUUUGGCUUCAAUUCUUGCUGGUAACAGGAGGCUUGCGAGUUUCUACGGUGUGUUGGGUGGAAACGGUCUAUGCCUGGUGAUUUUCACAAACAGAUGAAUAUACUCCUAUUUCCAAGCAUGCGAUUCAGCCACUUGGACUCCAGCAAUAACUGCCACCCGUUUCAAAGGAACUGGUGUAAUGCAGUCCUUACUAUCUGAGCUCAUAUCUAUUACGAAAAUCAAGCUGCAUGUUUUUCCAGGUGCUACCAUCUUGGAAACAAGGCACAAGGGGACCAAAAAAUGUGUUUCAGGACCUAAUGUGAAAGCCUCCAAUUAGGCUUCUUUUUUUUUUUUUUAAAUCUAGUUAUUGCAAGUUGUUUUGGCUAAAACUGGAACACAUUUAAAUGUCUUCCAACCUUGUGUAUUUGCCGCUCUUACUGCUUAUGUGUUAUUUUGGAAAUGUUCAAAAAUCCCAUCAAA